AUUGAACGCUGGCGGCAUGCCUUACACAUGCAAGUCGAGCGCGAAAGGGGGCAACCCCGAGUAGAGCGGCGGACGGGUGAGUAACGCAUCGGAACGUGCCCAGUAGUGGGGACAACCUCGAGAAAUCGAGGCUAAUACCGCAUACGACCCACGGGUGAAAGCGGGGACCGCAAGGCCUCGCGCUAUUGGAGCGGCCGAUGUCCGAUUAGCUAGUUGGCGGGUAAGAGCCCACAAGGCGACGAUCGGUAGCUGGUCUGAGAGGACGACCAGCCACACUGGGACUGAGACACGGCCCAGGACUCCUACGGGAGGCAGCAGUGGGGAAUUUGGACAAUGGGGCAACCCUGAUCCAGCCAUGCCGCGUGCGGGAAG
rnacentral:rRNA from 1 species